CAUCUGAGCCAUCCCUCCAUCCUAUGGUGGACCUAUUCUUAAACACACCUCCUACACUGUCACUCCCGCCAUGGCUUGGAUUCCUCCAAAGCAAUCCCUCUGGGAGACCAAACAUUUAUUCUAGCCAGACUGCUACUCUACUUAGGCACAGAAAAUAAUUGCCUUCAGAUCUGUCGUCCCAGAAACAAACCAAGUAAAGGCUCUGCCCUUGUGGACCACGAAGUUUAGUGGGGGAAGACUGAUGUUGGAUGCAACAUUAUAAAGAGGAAAAUAAUAGUGAAGGAGCCAGCUGAGUGUGGUUGGAGAAGGACUCUAGAAAUGAGUUAUUAAAAAAAAGUACAAAGACAUCCCAAAAGAUUUUAUCAUGUGAUAAAACUGGACGUGGAGCAAACCUAGAGCAACUCUCCAUCUGGAAGGUUCCAUCUGGGAAGGCAGUGUAACCCAGCCAUGCCUUCUGCAGGAUCUCCUGAACCUUGAGGGGAUGGACAGGCACCAGGAAUAGAAUGAGUAUAUUCUUGCCAAACCAGUUGACCUGCAUCUCCAGCUACUCACUAAUUAGGCCACCAUUUUGGACUUUGAUGUUGCAGUUUUCAAAAGCAAACACUGCUUUUGUUCAAAACCCCGAAGUAUAGCCUCAUAAUGUGCUUGCUACUCCCAGAAUCAGCUUCCCCCAUCCUUUCUAAAAUGUUAGACCAGAUAAAAAGCCCGGAGCGCCACUUUCGUCAUCGUGUAACCCUGACUCACAUACCCAGAAUAAUUCCCCACAGCCUAGAGCACAGACACCAAUCUUCUGCUUAUCAUCAAGGCCUUCAGCAAACAGAAGCCAAAUCCACUCUGAGCUUGCUGCCCCAAAAGUCCCUGCCCCACAUUAAUGGUCUCCGAACUGUCCCCCCACUGUAACUUCCGGCUCACGUCUGCUUCUUGAUUUUUGUCUGAAACAAAAUCAGUUUCCUGCUCCCUUCUGUUUGUCCACAUAUCUCCACCUUUAGAGCCCCCUCUUACAGUUUGCCAUGAAGCUAUCUCUGAUGACCCAGUGACCAAGGAUCCAGACCUAUCACUGCUGUACUGACAUGAGGCUACAGAGACCUUUUGGAGCCCAUUGUCUGCCUAAAAGAAGUCAAAGAUGAGCUGCAGAGAUGGCCCAGCUGCUAAAGCUUAGACUCACAACCAAAAAGAAGUUAAAAAAAAACAAACCCCUGUCAUUUGUUUUUUGAUUCCCUUAGGGAUUAUAGCUUGAGCUAAAUGUAUAGGAUACUUAUGACUUUCCAGCCUUUUAGGCAGGGCCAGUUUCAGCCCCCUAAAUGCUCACUAAGGGGCCGUUCAUUUGUUUAGAAUUAGAGAUAAAUCCAAAGACCCAAAUCACCUCUUUAAAGCAUUAUCUGCUCAAAAUCCUUUCAAAACCUGGACCCCCCUUCAAAGUUCUGAGUCCUCAGGACUCGUGGAGAAAAAGCCCUGUAAGACAGGACAUGUGCUAGGAAAUCCAUAAACCAUAAAUGUUAAGCUUUCUCUUUGGUUCUUGAAUAUUAUUUUUUUUUGAGACAAGGUUUCUCUGUGUAGUCCCAACUGUCCUGGAAACUCCCUCUGUAGACCAGGCUGGCCUCAAACACAGAGCUCUGCCAGCCUCUGCCUCCUGACUGCUGGGAUUAAAGGUGUGAGCCGCCGCCACCACCACCUGACUUUGAAUACUAUUAAAAGGGUUUUGAUGCAGAACUUAAA